ACCACUGAGCCACCUUCCCAGCCCUACAUGUAAUUCUUACACGUAGAAAAACUAUGCCAUAGGGCUGGGAAGGUGGCUCAGUGGU
rfam:Dipodomys ordii contig_13569, whole genome shotgun sequence.